UUUCACUCUUUUUGGUGGGGUUAGAUUGAUUAUUUGGUGGAGUUAGUUGCGUUGGUUAAGUUGGUUAUUUGGUGGUGUUGAUUGCAUUGGAUAGGUUUGCUAUUUAGUGGGGUUGGUUUGGUUUUUACUAAUUUACAUUUGUUUAGCGUUGGUUAGUCUCUGGGGUAAGUUGACAUUUUUAUUUUCGGAGCCGGCAUCUGUGCUUCCGAAUUGUGGAACCCGGCGCCGGCAGCGGAGUCACUUCCUAUAUAUAUAUACUUACAGGGUGGUCUGGGUCACAAUUUCUUUCUUCAUAGUCUAAAUACAUUUGUAAAACAUAAAUAAGAGAUAAAAUUUGUUGACACACCCGACCUCCGUUUUCCGUUUAUUAUAGGCGCUCUGUGCUCUCAGCUCCAUUGGAACGAACUAUAAUUAUUAUAAUUAUCCCUAAAUUUCAUCUCCCAAAAAGGGCAAAAGUCGGUACAAACAUUCCGUAAAAAUUGGUUCUGGGAGUUUAAUAUUUUGCACAAAGGUAAAUUCAUCCCCUAGAGAGGUGAAAUUAGUGGUGGAAAUUUAUAUUUAAAUUUGUAAAAAUCUCGUCCUAAGAAUAUACAAUAAUUUUAUUAUUAAUAAUUUCAAAAGGUUUCUUAAGUAACGCAAUGACUAUAUGAGGGGCGACUAUGAAAAUUCAUCCCCGAGGAGGGUAAAAUUAGGGCUGAACAAUUAUAAAGCAAAACAUAAAAUAAAAACCUGUUCAUUCAAAACAUUACACAAUAAAGGUUUCUCUAGGGAUUCAAUAAAAAAAUUCAUCCCUUAAAAUAAGGGAAAAAUGAUUGCAAAUAUUCGUUAAUAUUUGGUAUAAAAGUAUGAUAUUUCGGUGUAGCAUACUUACGAAGCGUUUUCUCGAAACUCAUUUCCUAAAGGGGUAAAAUUAAGGGCAAAAUUUUAUGAAAAUUCGUUACUACUAUGUGGUUUAGAAGUACAUAAUAUUUAUGAAUUAAAAUUUGGCCAAAUAUGCUUAAGUAUAAUUGGGAAGCAAUAGUAUAGAGUAGAAGAAACGAUUUUUGAAAAUUCAUCAUCUCGGGGAUGAUAGGGGUGAAAGUUGGCAUGAAAAUUUAUUACUACCUGGCAUAGAAGUAUAAUAUUUUUACAAAGUAUAUGUAGUUAAUAAGUCGAUUAUUUGAUCGAACUGUAUGUGUAUUUAAAUUCACUUUUUUCGUAUUAGAAAAUCUAGGUAUUUUCGGAAAAAACACCCACAGUUUUUGAUAUAAUUUAGUCCUAGAAAAUCUAAAAAAUGUAUCUUCUUCAGUUUAUAGUGAAAUGUUUUCUCAUCCAUUGAAAGCACACUUUUUUAAAAGCAUUUUAAAUAAAAUCAAAACAAGAAACUUAAACUGAAUAGCUGAAUUAACUAAAACAAUACUAAGAACACCGUGAACUAACUAAAUGUAAACCAACAAAACCCAACAGAAAAUUAAAAUCGGAAACAGCUAAUAAUAAUGAUGUAUGUAAUAUCCAUGUGAAACAACUGAAGAAACUGACUUAAAAAUCCUCUGAAAACCUUCAAUAUUCCCAUCUUAGAUUCCCAUAUCCUUUUUCUAGGACACUGUUGCCAAUUCUACUUACCAAUUUGUAUAAACUAUAUCGGUAUCACGGCACAUGCAAACAAUAUGCCGUGUCUGUAUCAUAAAAGUACCUAUUUGCUAUAUAAAAGAUCAGCUGCUAAAUUUUAAAUCAAUUUAAAAUAUCAAAUAAAAUUAUAGUAGUGCAUAAAACUAUUAACAAGCAGGAUAUAAAAAUAAUUAAAGAUAAUUUAAGCUGGCUAAUAGUAGAUAGACUUUAGAUUAAUAUUUGAAAUUAACAGCUGGAAGUACAGCUAAAUACAAACGGCAAGCUGACAACAAAGAUCCUAUUCUUUAAGAAUUGUAUAUUUCUGAUAUUUUAUAUAAUUUUUAAUUUUAAAGAAAUCGUCAUUUUCUUUAUACAUAUGUAUUGAUCUUAACCGAUUGUUAAAAUUUGUAAAUUUCUCAUACUUUACAAAUAAAUAUUAGCUGAUAUUUCCUAACAUCAUGUAAUAGUUAUUUAUUAUUAUCCAGGAGAAAGCGCUAAUACAAGUACAUAUAACAUUUAAUUCUCACAUAAAAAAAGUUCAAGCUGGCAAUCUCGCUUUGACUUUAUAAUCGUGCGGCGGCUGCGACGGC
rnacentral:lncRNA from 1 species